rnacentral:snRNA from 13 species
AUGGUUUGGUUUAAAUAAAAUAAAAAAUAAAAAAUAAAAAAUCUGUUCUUAUCCGUUUAAUAUCUGAUACGUCCCCCAUCGGGGGACUACAUAUUAAAUGGGUUUUUCGAACAGGGAGUCGGAAAUGGGGCUUGCUCCGUCCGCUCCACGCGUCGACCCGGUAUUGCAGUACCUCCGGGAACGGUGCAACACUU